GACGAACGCUGGCGGCGUGCUUAACACAUGCAAGUCGAACGGAAAGGCCCUGCUUUUGUGGGGUGCUCGAGUGGCGAACGGGUGAGUAACACAUGAGUAACCUGCCCUUGACUUUGGGAUAACUUCAGGAAACUGGGGCUAAUACCGGAUAGGAGCUCCUGCUGCAUGGUGGGGGUUGGAAAGUUUCGGCGGUUGGGGAUGGACUCGCGGCUUAUCAGCUUGUUGGUGGGGUAGUGGCUUACCAAGGCUUUGACGGGUAGCCGGCCUGAGAGGGUGACCGGCCACAUUGGGACUGAGAUACGGCCCAGACUCCUACGGGAGGCAGCAGUGGGGAAUAUUGCACAAUGGGCGGAAGCCUGAUGCAGCAACGCCGCGUGCGGGAUGACGGCCUUCGGGUUGUAAACCGCUUUCGCCUGUGACGAAGCGUGAGUGACGGUAAUGGGUAAAGAAGCACCGACUAACUACGUG
rnacentral:rRNA from 1 species